AUGGAUCUUCAUCGCUCUCAUGGAGGUUCACGUCUUGGCCCCAUGUCGCCUCCGAGGAAACACGACGGAGAGGCGGAUCGAGUCGUCGCGCGAGCGCUGGUGGCCACCAGCGAGAUGCCAUGGAGGAGAGGAGAGGUCGCGAGGGAGAGAGGACAGAGGAGGCGCUGCAUUAUACGGGCGGCGACAUACUCGUAUUUGAGAAAAUACCCAUGGGACAAGUUGGCAUCUGCAUCCGAACUAAAAAGGAAAUGGAGGCGUAUCCACACGCGAGGCGUUCUGCUUCGGAAGUGCAUCGUCUCCGCUGAGGAUGCCGGUUGCCCGCUCUGCUCUGCAACUCUGGAAACCGCCGAUCACAUGCUCUUCGUCUGCCCGUUCGCGGGUGAUUUUUGGCAAAGAGUCAAUGUCGCCGUCGGCGGCAUCAUGGUCUGCAGGCUUGCCGCCCUUGCAACCGCGGCAGCCACGGUCGUCAAGUCUGAAGUUGAGUUCUCCAUGUUGUGUUGCUGCCAGCUCUGGAAGCACCGCAACGCGAUCGUCUUUUAG
rnacentral:rRNA from 1 species